CGGAGUGUGGCUCAGUUGGUAGAGCGCCGCGUUUGGGACGCGGAGGUCCUGGGUUCGAAUCCCAGCACUCCGACAA
rnacentral:tRNA from 1 species